UAUCAUCAAGUCACAGUAUACCAGCUGCAAGUGAUUCCGACAUGUUUGACAUCAGCGUUAGUUAUUAUGAAAAGGGGGACUUUGUCUACCCAACAGAGGAUGUUCUGGAUGAAGAAUCCGAUUCUGACUUUGAGGACCCCGAGCUUACAUUGCGGCUUCAAAUUGGAGAGGAUUGUAAAGGACUGACAGAGGUUGGGGAAGAGGAGCAUGAGAUGGGGGAGGAUAUUAGGCUGGAGGAC